GAUGAAGAACGUAGCGAAACGCGAUAAGUAAUGUGAAUUGCAGAAUCCAGUGAAUCAUCGAAUCUUUGAACGCACAUUGCGCCCGCCAGCAUUCUGGCGGGCAUGCCUGUUCGAGCGUCAUUUCAAACCUCGACCUCCCCUUGGGGAGGUCGGCGUUGGGGACCGGCAGCACACCGCCGGCCCUGAAAUGGAGUGGCGGCCCGUCCGCGGCGACCUCUGCGCAGUAAUACAGCUCGCACCGGGACCCCGACGCGGCCACGCCGUAAAACACCCAACUUCUGAACGUUGACCUCGAAUCAGGUAGGACUACCCGCUGAACUUAAGCAUAUCAAUAAGCGGAGGA
rnacentral:misc_RNA from 1 species